CUGGCGGCGUGCCUAAUACAUGCAAGUCGAGCGCGGGAAGCAGACUGAAAUCUUCGGAUGGACGUCUGUGGAACGAGCGGCGGAUGGGUGAGGUAUCACGUGGGCGAACCUGCCUGUAAGCUCGGGAUAACUCGCGGAAACGCGGGCUAAUACCGAAAUGACCCUUGCAUCCGCAUGGAUGCAAGAUAAAAGGCGGCUUUUGGCUGUCACUUACAGAUGGGCCCGCGGCGCAUUAGCUAGUUGGUGGGGUAAUGGCUCACCAAAGCGACGAUGCGUAGCCGACCUGAGAGGGUGAUCGGCCACACUGGGACUGAGACACGGCCCAGACUCCUACGGGAGGCAGCAGUAGGGAAUCUUCUGCAAUGGACGAAAGUCUGACGGAGCAACGCCGCGUGAGUGACGAAGGUCUUCGGAUCGUAAAACUCUGUUGUCAGGGAAGAACAAGCAUCGGCCGAACUAAGCCGGCGCCUUGACGGUACCUGACCAGAAAGCCCCGGCUAACUACGUGCCAGCCGCCGC
rnacentral:rRNA from 1 species